rnacentral:rRNA from 1 species
CAGCCGCCACGGUAAUACAGAGGAUGCAGGCGUUAUCCGGAAUGAUUGGGCGUAAAGCGUCUGUAGGUGGCUUUUCAAGUCCGCUGUCAAAUCCCAGGGCUCAACCCUGGACAGGCGGUGGAAACUACCAAGCUAGAGUACGGUAGGGGCAGAGGGAAUUUCCAGUGGAGCGGUGAAAUGCGUUGAGAUCGGAAAGAACACCAACGGCGAAAGCACUCUGCUGGGCCGACACUGACACUGAGAGACGAAAGCUAGGGGAGCAAAUGGGAUUAGAUACCCCGGUAGUCCCUGUCUCUUAUAA